rnacentral:rRNA from 1 species
UACGAAGGGGGCGAGCGUUGUUCGGAUUUACUGGGCGUAAAGGGCGCGCAGGCGGCUCUGAAAGUCAGAUGUGAAAGCCCCGGGCUUAACCUGGGAAUUGCAUUUGAUACUCUGGAGCUUGAGUACGGGAGAGGAGAGUGGAAUUCCCAGUGUAGAGGUGAAAUUCGUAGAUAUUGGGAAGAACACCAGUGGCGAAGGCGGCUCUCUGGACCGUAACUGACGCUGAGGCGCGAAAGCCAGGGGAGCAAACGGG